rnacentral:lncRNA from 1 species
GCUAUCAUUCUUCUUCUAUAUAUAUGCGUGCAUAACAAUGAAGAAACUUAACCCGCGUCUCUCUCUUUCUCUCUGAUAAAUCCACUGCUAUGCCUUCCCAAAGCAACCAACUUCACUUCAUCUUGUUUCCUCUAAUGGCCCAAGGCCAUAUGAUUCCAAUGGUAGAUAUUGCCAAACUAUUAGCACGAGAAGAAGCAAUAGUGAGUAUAAUAACAACACCUCAAAAUGCUGAUAGACAUUCAACAGUUCUUACCAGAGCAAUUAAAUCAGGCCUUAAAAUCCAAAUUUUCAAACUCCAAUUUCCAUUUCAAAAAUACGGCUUACCUGAAGGAUGUGAAAAUUUUGACAUGUUACCUUCAUUGGAGAUGGCGCAUAAAAUGUUCAUGACAGCAAAUGAGCUUGAAAAGCCAGCAGAGAAAUUAUUUGAAGAACUAAACCCCAAGCCAAGCUGCAUAAUUUCAGAUAUGUGUUUGCCCUGGACAAUUAACUUGGCAAGUAAAUGGGAAGUUCCUAGAAUUUCAUUCAAUGGAUUUUGCUGUUUUUGUACGUUAUGGUCACACUGUAUGCACAGUUCCAAGAUUUUGGAGACUAUAACAUCAGAAAAUGAAUAUUUUGUGGUUCCUGGAUUGCCUCAAACUAUUCAGUUUACUAAAAGUCAACUUCCCUUACCAACUAAGGACUUGGAAGAGUACCAAAAUCAAAUUCUUCAAGCUGAGAAGGCAAGCUAUGGAUUUAUUAUAAACACAUUUGAAGAGUUAGAGGAAGAAUU